rnacentral:rRNA from 1 species
UACGUAGGGUGCGAGCGUUAAUCGGAAUUACUGGGCGUAAAGCGUACGCAGGCGGCUAUGCAAGACAGAUGUGAAAUCCCCGGGCUCAACCUGGGAACUGCAUUUGUGACUGCAUCGCUGUAGUGCGGCAGAGGGGGAUGGAAUUCCGCGUGUAGCAGUGAAAUGCGUAGAUAUGCGGAGGAACACCGAUGGCGAAGGCAAUCCCCUGGGCCUGCACUGACGCUCAUGCACGAAAGCGUGGGGAGCAAACAGG